rnacentral:rRNA from 1 species
ACGCUCGACACCUACGGGAGGCAGCAGUGGGAAAUAUUGCACAAUGGGGGAAACCCUGAUGCAGCGACGCCGCGUGGAGGAAGAAGGUCUUCGGAUUGUAAACUCCUGUUGUUGGGGAAAAAGAGGAUGGUACCCAACAAGGAAGUGACGGCUAACUACGUGCCAGUAGCCGCCGGUAAGUCUGAGCGGGCGUGGCAAGGC